UACCAGCACCCCGAGUGGUCGGGACGAUUAUUGGGCCUAAAGCAUCCGUAGCCGGUCCUGCAAGUCUUCCGUUAAUCCACCUGCUCAACAGUUGGGCUGCGGGGAUACUACAGGGCUAGGAGGCGGAGAGGCAAGCGGUACUCAGUGGGUGAGGGUAAAGUCCGCUGAAUCCAUUGAAGACCACCAGUGGCGAAGGCGGCUGCCA
rnacentral:rRNA from 1 species